CUGCUAUUCAGGCACUAAUAAGAAAAGUCUGCAGCUCGGUCCGUUAAGGGGGGAAAUGGCAGAAGAGAUUUGAGAUUUUGGACCUUUACCGUGCGAAGGUGAACUUUCUCUUCAUCGUGGAUUGAUCCUGACGUGCUGGAUGAAUGAAACUGUGUUUCCAUUAGGCGAUACCCGACUACCCCACACAACCCCAAGUUAUGGAACGACAAGGCUAGAAGGAGUAUGAAGAUGUAUUCAGUUGAUCGUAACAAACAGUGUAACACCCAGUUACCCUGGGUGUGCUUUGGGUUUCCUCUUGGAUUCUCCCCGGUUGGUUAAGAUCUCCUCGACGCUAACAUCAUAGAUGUCGCAACAUCAGCAACCUAAUUUACUCACAACGUUUGGCACCAUCACAGAUCCUGGUGGCAGGAAGACUCUGGAAUUGCCAAUCUGCUGUCCAGAAGGCUGACUUCAUCUCAGCAUUAGCAUCCAUCCACUCCCUACAC